AAACCUACGGGAGGCUGCAGUGGGGAAUAUUGCACAAUGGGGGAAACCCUGAUGCAGCGACGCCGCGUGAGCGAAGAAGUAUUUCGGUAUGUAAAGCUCUAUCAGCAGGGAAGAAAAUGACGGUACCUGACUAAGAAGCACCGGCUAACUACGUGCCAGCAGCCGCGGUAAUACGUAGGGUGCAAGCGUUAUCCGGAUUUACUGGGUGUAAAGGGAGCGUAGACGGAUAGGCAAGUCUGGAGUGAAAGCCCGGGGCUCAACCCCGGGACUGCUUUGGAAACUGUUUAUCUAGAGUGCUGGAGAGGUAAGUGGAAUUCCUAGUGUAGCGGUGAAAUGCGUAGAUAUUAGGAGGAACACCAGUGGCGAAGGCGGCUUACUGGACAGUAACUGACGUUGAGGCUCGAAAGCGUGGGGAGCAAACAGGAUUAGAUACCCCGGUAGUC
rnacentral:rRNA from 1 species